rnacentral:ncRNA from 1 species
AAUUAAAUUUUAAAUAGGCCUCGUAUAAUUGUGAUGAUAUGGUUCACAAGUUUCUAGUGUCAGCCGAUAACUGACAACUAUGAGGGAAAUAAAUUAAUCU